rnacentral:rRNA from 1 species
CCGCGACCCCAGGUCAGGCGGGAUCACCCGCUGAGUUUAAGCAUAUCAA